rnacentral:tRNA from 1 species
GCCGGUGUAGCUCAGGGGUAGAGCAACUGAUUCGUAAUCAGUAGGUCGCAGGUUCAAUUCCAGUCACCGGCA